rnacentral:lncRNA from 1 species
AUAAAAGGACCACCAGCCGUCCUACCGAAGUUGGUUCCUCCAUGGUACUGCAGUUGACGUAAACAUGCAAAUUCGUUUACUUCAACAUGAUGGACAGCAAUCAGUAAUUACUGAAACAACUGAGGUAGAACAUACAAUUUCUUACCAUAUAGUAGUUAACGAAGGAACCACCUUUCGCUAUAAACCUUGCGACAGCAAAAGCCAUGUCCUGAACAGGCCGGUGAGGAACUGGACCCCCGAAACCAGUGAACCUAUUAACAUAGAAUACAUAGAAUAAAUUCACUGGAUAGAUUAAUUUCUUGUGAAAAUUUAUAUGAAUUCAAAUGUGAAGAAGUAGCGGUUACCAGCCAGUCCAAGCUUCAGUCCACAUGGUCGGUUUAUAAGGCUUGUUUGGUGAGAAGUAAUCGCAGUAGAACCCAUUGCAGGCAUUGAUCUUUAAAGACAAAAGCCCAAAAAAAGAGAUCACAAUAAGUCACCCAAGCUGGUCUAACAUGCAACUACAAACCCUCUAAUUAGGGCAGCUGGAAUUUAAGUAGAUAAAAGUCAUGUUGGACUUGACAAGGUAGAGAAGGAACAUGAACUUGGGGUUCUUCCUGAUGUGGUAGAACAAGAAAACCGAAAGCUUGGACUUACCACUGGAUCAGGUGCAUCAUCUUGCUUGCACAUGACCCACGGCACACCGGUGUUGAGACCCACUGCCAUUUGAGCAGCCCAGCUUAGGUAGUUCUUGGCUGCAGCGCCGUCAUAGUACUCCUGUAUACUAUAUUCGUUUUCAAUCUGCUCAAGUUAGACAAAGAGCAUGGAAGAACAGAAAGCGAAUUAGAUGAGAUCUUUGGGAGCUGAUCAACUCGAUGACACAUAAAAGCUAACGAAUUGAUGAAAGCAAAGAAGGAAUGGAUUCGAUGAUACCUGAGAGAGGAUAAUGGGACCACCCUGUGAUUCAAAUAAUCCUUCAGACUUCAUCAUGGCGACAAUCUUCUCUGUGAACUUCGCCAUGGCCGCCUUUUACAUGAAUAGACCAAUUAGCAAUUGCUCGGUUAGAGGAGAUCGAGUAUAAACAUGUAAAGAGAAGUUCCUGUGGAUUCUUACCUUGAAAGGUCCAUUGUCGCUCCUGAAAGUGAUGCCAGGAACAUAUUUUAACCAGACAGGAAAUCCCCUGUUUUACAAAGACAAGAUGAACAACAGAACAGCAUCAUCAGAUUGCAUGAUUAGGCUUUUGAUUCCACAUAGAAGAAUUAAUUGAAGACCUCGACCUCGUACCCAAAGUUCCAUUCGGCACAAACAUAAGGACCAAUCCGGAGAUGAACAUAGAGGCCGGCCUGCUUCACCAGCUUGAUGAAGCGAACCAGGUCGUAAUUACCACCAAAAUAAUACUGCCAAAGAUCAAGAAAAGCAACAAAUUGAGGCACACUAUGGGAAGGAGCAGUAGCCUUAGACGAGAGGGCUGGGAAAGGUUGGGUGAUCUCCGAACCUGGCCAGGGGACGGCUCGUGGCCGUUCCAGAACACAUAGGUCUGGAUAACAUCCAAGCCGCCAUCUUUAGCCUUCUGGAUGAGAUCCGGCCACAUCUGGAGACGAUCCAAUCGACAAAGUUCAGGUUUUGACGCGGUAGAAUAACAGUGCACGAACAGCUCACCAAAAAGGCCACAUUUCCCACAGAAUUGGAGACCUUACCUCCGGGGUGCUCCUGGGAUAGUGAAUGGAACCGGAGAUUAGAAUCCUCCUCUGCCCAUUGACGAUGAUAGCCUUGUGGUCGUAGGAAACGGAGGCAUCGACCGGAGAGGAAUGCCACGGAGACGACACCACCACCAACGCCACCGCCAGUAGCAGCAGCGUCGACAGUCCGCGGCCGCACCCAAGCGUUAUAAGCUCGAGGCUCAUGGUGGCCGGUCGGUCUUACCUUCAGAGGAGUCUCCUUUAGUGUUCUGGAUGUAUAAUAUGUGAAUGAUGGAGAUUCGUGCGCGCUGUUCUUCCGUCUUCUCCUCCGCUAGAGAAGUUCCGACGGAACUAUUGAGCAGUAGCGUUACUGCAACAAGCACACACCGAGGAAGAGAGAGGGAGAUCAAAGAGGAGGGAGGGAAGAGGGCGGACGUGGAGUGGGAGCGCGGGGGCGGGGAGGACGGGGGAGGGCGAUGUGCCUCUUGCGGUAUAAAUACCCGACGGGCGCAAGCGAGCACAGGAUUGGCGCUGGAAUACGCGGGUCCCAAAGCGCCAGCCACGUCAACGUUUUCUUCCAUUCCCCCUGAACAGGAAAAAAUCAAAUGGACCGAAGCGUGGGGCCAUCUGCUUGUAAGAAAGUGGACCAAUUAAGAUAAAGCUUUGAUAGUUGGCAAGGAUCGACAGAGUCAAAAUAUUUUGUUAAAAUUAUUAUUUGAGAAAAUUAGGACAGAUAGGUUAUGUGGAAUAAUAUUAGAAACUAAUAAUAUUAGUUUAGUUUUGUAAGAAAAUUUUAUGUUGAUGAUAUUUUUUAGUUGUCUAAUAUAUCGAUAUACAUUAUGAUAGUAAGCGAGUUAGAUAACAUAUCCAUAACCAUGAUAUAAAUAUUUUUUUAUAAAAUUACAUAUACAUGAUAUACCUAAAGGGUUUGAUGAGAUAUAUCAUAUUAUUAUUUUAUUAUGUGAAUAACAAUUUUUUUAUAUGUUAAUUUAGUUUCACAUAAGAAAUGUAUAAAGAUUUAGAUAAGAGUAUGAUAAUUGUACCAUUCUUAUCGUGAGUUUAGAGGGAUUUAACUCAAAGUAUCUCUCUCAGACGAAGAUUAUAUAUGUGGCAGAUAAGGCUAAGCCAGAUAGGAGAGAAAGGUAUGUUUUUAAAUAAAUAAAGCUUUUUAAGCAAUGGAAUAUUGUCAAAAUUAAAAUAAUAUGAAUACUAUAUUUUUGAAAAGCAAAUAAAGUUUCUUGAGUUGUAAUGAUAUCCAUUUUAAGCAAAUAUAAUUGCUGCAUUAUAUUUUUAAUGUCGAUGCCAAUAUUUAUAGUCACUGAUUAAAACAUGCCACAUAUAAUAUUUUCUUUCAAUACCAGAAAGAUAUUUAUAGUAUGAAUGAAAGGAUAAAUUUAGCUGAAUAUGGAACAUGAUGAACCAUAUCAUAACCAAUCCUCAAUUGAACUAAAACUUAAUCCUUACAGAAAUAGUUUGUAAUCAUCCUAAACUGGUCUAAAUAGAUUUCUAUUUUAGAUUAAACUGGCCUAGACAGUGCCUGACCCAGUCUGAUCCUUGAUAAGUGGUCAAGCCAAGCUACUGAAAUGUUGACCUCUGUGUUUGUAACUCAUGAUGAAAUUCUAAGUGACAUUAACAGUUUCUUCUUUAUAGUUGAUAAAUCAUUGUCAUCUCUUUCUAAAAAUAAAAAUAAAAAAAGCUGGGAAUAAAAAUAUCUAUAACAAUGCCUUUUUCCUGGCACCAGAUUGUAUCUUUACCACUAAUUUCUUGUUUCUUGCACUGUUGCACAUGAUCAUCAUGCAUCUUGUUAGACAUCUCAAGUGGUUGCCACAUAGUUCAGAGCUCAGAAGCACAGCCACACAAUUGCAUCAGGAAUCAAAAUGCUUAUAAGCUUUGCAGAAGCAAUGGAAAAGGCAAAGGAUGAUAACUUAAUAUGGAUCAAAAUGCUUAUAAGCUUAAGUAGUACAGAAGCAAAAGCUUAGCUCUUGCAAUUACAAGACCGACCAACCAUUUUGUGUAAACAUGCUAUCCCAAUUGCUAAUAUUAUGUCCACACAUGGACUCAAUAUAUGCAGAAUCCCACGUGCAGUAAGUAAUAUGUUGAGUGCAUCCAAUAUUUUCUAUGCACAUUUACUCACGUAACCAGGCAAUACCUUAAAGUGGGUGUGCAGUUCCUGCAUCUCCACCAAUCACUACUCCACGACUUUGGUUUGUAUAAAUUGACUUUAGUUCAUUUUCUUUACUUGGUCUACCAUCUGUGGUUAUCAUCUGCAGAUGGUUUUGACAGCAAGCUUCUUCAUAGUGCUACUCUUUUCACCAUUGAAAUCCCAGUUGGAUCACCACCCCACUCUUCAAACACAACCAACAAGUUUCCAGUUGGGUUCAGCCAAGCGCGAGGAACAUGAUACCUGAGAUUUGAGGUCAGUAAUCAGUCAUUUAUUCGAUUUUUUCGCAAGCUUAAUGGGGUGGAAAAAAAGGCAGGUGUUUCAUUACCAUUUUUGAGAAGGCUCCCCACAAUUAGUCUGGCAUUUCUUCUCGUUGUAUGUCCCUCUGUAAUCGCACCAAUCACAAGAACCAUAUGCCUUAUAGGCAGGCCAGUAUCUGCCAAUGCUUUGUCCAUUGAUCCAUAUCUGACCUUUGCCCAUGCUACUCAUGUCUAAUGCCAAUGGCUCAUUCCCAGCUGGAGCAUUAAAGAAAGCCUGGAAGAUGAUAAAGAUUAAGUGACACAAUAGUCUCAAACAUGAGAGGAAGGAAGAUGAACUUUAGGAUAACAUGUUUCUGUGUUGCAAGCAGUACUGACCUUGUACCAAGUCAAGGGCUGCUUUGUUGAUGCACCUCCCCACUCAACUGAAGAACUGCCACUAAGUGUAUGGAUGCUCAGGGAUUCACCUCUCAGGCCGAUCUACACACACAAACAUGGAACUCAGUAACCAGUAAGCAAGUUUUAGUCAGAGACUAAUGUAGGUAGGAAGAGUUGAUUGGAACCUGGUAAAUCCAUUUCUGUGAUGAAAGGUCUCUCUUUCCUUCAUUGAGACCUUCCAGAGUCACUGGACCAAGAACACCAGCAUUCCAUGUCUCAAAGUGGUUGCCAACAUUCUGAAACAGAUCAGAGAACAGAAAUCUGAUGUCUCAACAGCCAUCUUGUGUGUAUAAUUGUACAGGGUUAUUUGUAUGAUAUUUCAACUUUUCGAUCAAUGGCCAGGAAAUAUUUCACAACAAAUUAUGUACUCACAGGAAGACCAACAGCGACACUUAGAAUCGAGAUUUUGUUGCUUCCUGCCCACAACUUCACAUUUUCUCUGAAAGUCAGCUUUGGAUUGUCCAAACUACCAGAGACAGUCCCUGCCAGAAGAAAAGAAAGCAAAAGCCAAAUCGGAACCUCACCAAAUGUUGAGCAUAUCAUCAAGAAUCAAUUCUCCACAAGGCAAAGCCACUCACCAGCCCGUUCUCCAUUGAUGAAAACAUGCAUAGAAUGGCCUGCCGACAUCACAGUCAGGAAAGGGUAUCGGCCAUUCUUCAAGAAUUGUUCAUUUGAGUCUAUGUUAACACUGAAGAGUGGAGAUUGUGAGUCAUUGAGUGAUAGAUGUCAUUGAUUCUGUCUCAAAUAGACAAGCUGCAAAGGAACGUCUACUCACUAUGAAGUGUACCACAGGUAGUCUGUCCGAUCCCUUGUCAUGCUUAUCUGCUCCACCAAUCCAUCUUUUGUGAAUGAGUUAUCCCCCAGUGAGUUGGUAUCCUCACUGAAGGACUCCCAAGAAAAUCCACCAACCCAAGUCAUUUUAAUCUGUGAUGUUGGAGCUCCUACCUGUGUAUAUCAUUAGUAACUUUGUGUUAAAGACACUGUCAUGAAAAUUCAACCAUGGAAAUCCUUUUUCAUCCGAGAAAAUUUGGAAUACAUAGUGAGUUAUACAUUUUCUUUAGCCAAGAAACAAAUAACUCAAUAGAGAGGUGAGUUUUUUUAAUACAGUAGUAGAAGCAACCAUGACCGUUAAUCAUAAAAUAUUUCUCACCUUUGCAGUGUUGAACACUGAGGUUUUGCAGUCAGGAAGAAUGCUGAUGGACCAAGAUGGAAUAUUAUACUUCAUUCCAUUGAAAGUAACACUUGCAUAAGAAUGUGGGUUGAAAUUAGAAAGGAAUGCAGCACAUGAGCCUGACUUUGAUCUGUAUACAUGUGCCUGCAAGAAGUCGAAUGUAGAAAAGUUCCAAAAUGCAAAUCAUUGAAAAGAUUCCUGCAAAUUUUACAGCAAGAUAUAAGAAUUGAACCUCCUGAUAAUUUCCGAGUUUUGUCACUGUGGGAUCCCCAGACACAAGAGCUGGUUCACACAUUUUGAUUGCUUUAUGCAGGUCUCUCAGAUGUCCCCAUUUCGGCUGCCUCAACAGACCUGAGAAAGAUUAUGAUACGUUUAACACCAAAUAGAGGGAAUGGUAAUACUUGGCAUCAAAUAUAUUUGUAUUGCAUCAUCAGAUGCUUGACCAAUGAGAUUGCACAAUGUCUUCCUUGUAGAAGAGGAACAAGAUUUUGGCACCAAAAAGAAGAAAUAGGAAAAGGAGAAGCAACCUGAGUGGGAAUUGUAUUACUACUAAUCUUCUCUUAAUCUUGAAAAGAACCCAAGUAUUUGACCUAAAUAAUUCUCUAGGUGAGCAAUCACAACUUUAUACCCACGCAAGUAAAAAGAUCAUGCAUUUCUUUCUAAAAGCUGGAUGAGAUGAUCCAAAAUCACAUCUUUCUGGAAUUAUCACAAGCAUGCUAUGUGUGCAGAUGAUGAAGUCAACCAUGCCUUUUUCCUCACAUCAAAAGCUCCAAAAGGGGCAGAUCAAUGAGAAGUCAUGAGUUAAUUUAAAACCAAAUCAUUACAAAAUGAAAAUUGUUACAUAUGACACAAUCAUUGAAGAAAAACUGCAUACCGUAUUCAUCAAUUGGGGCAUCAUAGUCAUAGCUUGUCGAAAUAAAAGGACCACCAGCCGUCCUACCGAAGUUUGUUCCUCCAUGGUACUGCAGUUGACGGAAACGUGAAAAUUCUUUUACUUCAACAUGAUGUACAGCGUUCAGUAAUUACUGAAACAACUCAAGUAGAACAUACAAAUUCUUACCAUAUAGUAGUUAACGAAGGAUCCACCCUUCUGUAUAAACCUUGCAACGGCAAAAGCCAAGUCCUCAACAGGUCUGUGAGGAACUGGACCCCCGAAAGCAGUGAACC